rnacentral:sRNA from 1 species
UAGAAUUAUUAUCUGGUCCCAAAGUUGAU